rnacentral:rRNA from 1 species
AUUGCAGGCUGAAACUCGCCUGUAUGAAGAUGGAGUUGCUAGUAAUCGCGAAUCAGAAUGUCGCGGUGAAUACGUUCCCGGGUCUUGUACACACCGCCCGUCACACCAUGAGAGUUGGCAACACCCGAAACCUGUGGGCUAACCGAAAGGAGGCAGCAGUCUAAGGUGGGGUCAGUGAUUGGGGUGAAGUCGUAACAAGGUAUC